rnacentral:rRNA from 1 species
AGCGAACGCUGGCGGCAGGCUUAACACAUGCAAGUCGAGCGGGCAUCCUUGUGGUGUCAGCGGCAGACGGGUGAGUAACGCGUGGGAACGUGCCCUUCGGUUCGGAAUAACUCAGGGAAACUUGAGCUAAUACCGGAUACGUGCGAGAGCAGAAAGGUUUAUCUGCCGAAGGAUCGGCCCGCGUCUGAUUAGCUAGUUGGUGAGGUUACGGCUCACAAGGCGACGAUCAGUAGCUGGUCUGAGAGGAUGAUCAGCCACACUGGGACUGAGACACGGCCCAGACUCCUACGGGAGGCAGCAGUGGGGAAUAUUGGACAAUGGGGGCAACCCUGAUCCAGCCAUGCCGCGUGAGUGAUGACGGCCUUAGGGUUGUAAAGCUCUUUUCUCCGGGACGAUAAUGACGGUACCGGAGGAAUAAGCCCCGGCUAACUUCGUG